AGCUGCGGGAAGUAUGCUUGGCCAACUGCCUCUGCUUCGGAGCCGGGGUCGUGGUCCUCUGUUCAGGGCCUGAAGAAAAAGGCAAUGCUACCAAGACCUUAGCCAUUUCUUCCCAAUGCUGGCUCCUUUAAGGGUGAUGCUGGCUCUGGAGUUCCCUUUUGGGUUGAUGGAGAAAUUGGCAGGUUAAUGUCAAAGUCUGGUGCCUUCUGCCCAUCUCUCCUUCUCCCCCCUUUCCCCUCAGGUGUUCCUCUCUGACGCAUCUUUUGCAUUCCCAAGUCCAUGUCCGUGCCUGCUUCCUGGAGAACUCAAGUAACACACGGGCAGCUGAAGAACUAACCCAUGUUCACCCAGGGAAGAAGGGGCCUCAAAGGAGGAAGAGGGAAGUGCGAGCAUGGCAACCUGGGAUAUCACAUAUUGUGAGGGCGGCAUUACCAGAUGGAAGAAGCUUGGAUCCCUGAGUCACCAGAUGGAGACGAGCUCUGGCCAACUUGCAUUGGACUUCACGAUUCUCCUUCAGGAAAAAAGAAACUGUCUCCUGAUGCAGCUGGAAGAAGCUACCCGCCUAAUGUCUUAUCUCCAGUCCCAGUUAAAGAGGUGGGUAACUGGAAGGGAGAAGACCAUGCUUGAUUGGCACCACAGAAGGACGUGUCCGUGAACUGCCCCCUUCCCUUUAGCUUGCUUUUCUCUCCCCGAACUUAGAACCCGCAGGGGUUGUGAACACAGGACAGAAAAGUGGAGACAUGAUAUCGUUACGAGUUGCUGCUGAUUCAUGAUCCAAGGAUGGUGGGGAGAGCCCAGUGUGACUUCAGAACAGCAAAUCCGAAGUCAGACUGAGCCAAGGACUUGGUUACAGCUUCAGAAGUCUAUCUGUCCAUGUAUGUGUAUGCAUAGUCCCAUUUUUAUUUUCCUUUUUAAAAGGAUAUGAAUAUUUUAGAAAUAACAUUUGGAUGCUCACCUUUCUGAAGCCCUCCA